rnacentral:rRNA from 1 species
GACGAACGCUGGCGGCGUGCCUAAUACAUGCAAGUCGAGCGAGCGGCGGACGGGUGAGUAACACGUAAGUAACCUACCGAUAAGCGGGGGACAACAUCCGGAAACGGGUGCUAAUACCGCAUACUUAUCGAUGGCCUUGCGGUGCAUUAGCUCGUUGGUAGGGUAACGGCCUACCAAGGCAAUUAUGCAUAGCCGACCUUAGAGGGUAAUCGGCCACAUUGGGACUGAGACACGGCCCAAACUCCUACGGGAGGCAGCAGUAGGGAAUCUUCCGCAAUGGGCGCAAGCCUGACGGAGCAACGCCGCGUGAGUGAAGAAGGUUUUCGGAUCGUAAAAUGCUUUUGUCAGGGAAGCGGUACCCGAAGAAUAAGCACCGGCUAACUACGUGCCAGCAGCCGCGGUAAUAC